rnacentral:lncRNA from 1 species
CCAGCAAAUCCUGACCGCUCCGCUCCACCUUCACACAGUGUUCCGAAUCCGGACCCCAUCCCGUCCUCCGCCACUCCUGGCCUGAACACAGCGGCCCGGGCCCCUGCUCCGAUCCCGGCCGCUGCACCCGCGCCGGGCUGAGGCCUCCUCCGGGCGCCUGGGCCGCCCCGCGCCUCCCCCGAGUCCGCCCAGGAAGCUGCUCGCUGCCCCUAGCCAUCUCUCGCGACCUGUCCCCUCCGCUGUCCCCGAGACCUCCCUCUGGCAGACCCCUCAGCCCAGAACACCUCGUCGCCACCCCCGCGUCUUCUCCCCCGGUCGGCGGCGACCCCACCGUCUCAGGCCUGGGCUUCCGGCGGCCCCGGGUCGCGCGUGCGCACUGCGACCGGCGCGCUCUCGGCCCGGACGCGGCCUGGCGGAGCUGAUGGGGGUCCCGCUCCCGGCUGGGCCGCCUGGGCGGCACCUCAGGCCCGGACUCACCUGCAGGCGGCGGGCGGCGCGGAGGCCUGAUAGGAGACUCGCGUCCCGCCCCAGCUGCAGCGGCCCCUGCCGGAGACGCAGACCCCCACCCGGCUCCAGUCCCAAGGCUCUAGCUCCUCUGCCCUGUCCUGUUCACUGCUGGACGAUUGUUUCUUUUUUCUUUUCUUUUUUUUAAACUCUUUUUUAGAGAACGACGGGUUGCGGGCGGGCGUGUUUGCUUGCUUCCUCUUUCUGACCUCCCAAGGUUCACUCCUGCCCAGGGCCCCAACUUGUCUGCUUCUGUUACAGAUCACCAGGUAGACAUCGAGUUCCAGGGAUGUGCUUGUUGUGCCAGGAAGGUCUGUUGUGUGUGUAGUGUUCCAUCAUGCUUGCCUAACUCCAUAUCUGAAGGUCUGUUUUAUCCCUCUCCUCUGCUUUUGUAUUUCUGCUUGCCAACUUCCCUCUGACAUCUCCUAUAAAAGGACCUCAGGCUCUGAGCCUCUUGCCUCUCUAAACUUGGAGCUUGGAGAGUGCCAUCUGGCCAGACUAAUAAAGGUCUGUUUUACAGCUUGUCCGGUGUGUUCCCUCCCGGGUGAUCUUCGCUGUAGUUAGCUCCUCGGAGCGUUUGGUGAGGCCCACGGUCUUACACAGCCCACUACAUACACCAGCUCUCAACAUGUGUCCUAUUGCUUUUGGUAUUAACCACCAUAUGGUAAUCCUUU